rnacentral:lncRNA from 1 species
AGGCGGAAGAUCGCCACCAGACCAUUCUUCAAAAAUGGACUCCCUAGCAGCAACAGCAACACUCUGCCGCUCAACAAUAAGUUGGCGUAGAGAAGGAAGAUCCAAGGUCGACGACCGAGGAUCCAGAAUAUUCAAAAUCCGAUCCAGCUCCUCAAUCUCUCCCUGAAUGAAAUCAGCAAAGAGACUCACAAGAAGAGCCAUGGAUGGAUGAAGGAAAAGGAGAACCUAGGGGCCCUAUUUAUAGACCCUAGGACAGCACAAAAGGACAAAAUGGC